UUUAAAAUUUUGUUGCAUUCUUUGUUGUCGACAUGAAGUUUGUCUCAUAGAAAUGAAAUUUAUAAACAGUCUACGCAAUGAAAGUGCAGAAACAAGUGUGGUAUUUUUUGUAUGAAUAAUGUACCAAUUAUCUUAUAGACCCACAUCCUUUUUAACUCUGCGCAGACUAUGUUCAUAUGUGUUAGUGAUCGAAAUUGGGUCUCACUGAACAAUGAGGCAUAUUACCGCAACCUAGCUGUGGCACUGAUUUUUGAGUGAUCACACCUUGUGACUCACGGAAGACGUUGUCGGUGCGUGGUUUUGUCAUUUCAAUAGCGGGUAUUUGGUCAUUGCUUCGACCUGUGAUGGGAGUAUGCGCUAAGAAACUUUCAGCUUUUAUAAAAUGAUGAAGGUCUGGCUCUCACGGGCUCUUGGGUUAAUAAAUUGUUGACGCUGUUCUAACAUAUCCUUACAACUAAAGGAAAUGAUGUAAAAUUAAUUACAGAACAAAAUAUAAACAGAAACGAAGAUAAAAAUUAACGUAAAA